rnacentral:rRNA from 1 species
ACUCCUACGGGAGGCAGCAGUGGGGAAUAUUGCACAAUGGGGGAAACCCUGAUGCAGCCAUGCCGCGUGUGUGAAGAAGGCCUUCGGGUUGUAAAGCACUUUCAGUAGGGAGGAAGGUAGUGUAGUUAACACCUGCAUUAUUUGACGUUACCUACAGAAGAAGCACCGGCUAACUCCGUGCCAGCAGCCGCGGUAAUACGGAGGGUGCGAGCGUUAAUCGGAAUUACUGGGCGUAAAGCGCAUGCAGGCGGCCUGUUAAGUCAGAUGUGAAAGCCCGGGGCUUAACCUCGGAAUUGCAUUUGAAACUGGCAGGCUAGAGUCUUGUAGAGGGGGGUAGAAUUUCAGGUGUAGCGGUGAAAUGCGUAGAGAUCUGAAGGAAUACCAGUGGCGAAGGCGGCCCCCUGGACAAAGACUGACGCUCAGAUGCGAAAGGCUGGGGAGCAAACAGGAUUAGAUACCCUGGU